GCCAGUCUCUUACGUUAGGUACGCAUUUUUCCAAGGUUUUGUUCUUCCUUGAAGAUGUAAAAUUUAUUAUGAAGUGAAAUCACUGUGAAACAUUAUGUUAUGCAAACUUUAAUUAAUUUCUUUCUGUUACUUGUUAACCUUGCAGGUUUCUCUUUAACUCUGAACUAAGCACUAGGCACAAAACUGUUCUGUUGAUUCAAGAUGCUGUAACAUCCUGACAUGGAUGAAAUUUGACCUGGCCAAGAGUGAGAACAAGGCUUCCCAUCACAUACGGGAAGGUGAAGCGUUCAGGCAGCUUGGCAGAAACUCAAGGGAACAGAAGAAUUAAGUGUAUUUUUUUUGGUGAAGUUUUGAGAUCCCUGUACAAAGUUUUGGAUUUGAGUAGCCACAGUACGUCUGAAUUGAUCAUUUACCACCAGCAUCAUCUCUGUUUUGGAUAUCUUUGA
rnacentral:lncRNA from 1 species